rnacentral:rRNA from 1 species
GUGGGGAAUAUUGGGCAAUGGGCGAAAGCCUGACCCAGCAACGCCGCGUGAGGGAAGAAGGCCUUCGGGUUGUAAACCUCUGUCCUUGGUGACGAAAAAAAUGACGGUAGCCAAGGAGGAAGCCCCGGCUAACUACGUGCCAGCAGCCGCGGUAAUACGUAGGGGGCGCGCGUUGUCCGGAAUUACUGGGCGUAAAGGGUGCGUAGGUGGCCUUUUAAGUGUGCUGUGAAAUACCCGGGCUUAACUUGGGGGGUGCAUCGAAUACUGGAGGGCUAGAGGGCAUGAGAGGGAAGCGGAAUUCCUAGUGUAGCGGUGAAAUGCGUAGAUAUUAGGAGGAACACCAGUGGCGAAGGCGGCUUUCUGGACUGUAACUGACACUGAGGCACGAAAGCGUGGGGAGCAAACAGGAUUAGAAACCCCUGUAGUCC